GGUGUUAAGAACAGGUUCAUGUUCCCCGCGGUUGUUUAUAUUUCUCGUGUGGAGGUGAGAGGACAGCUUCCCUUACACCAUGAGGCUUCAUGGUGAGUCAGGCUGAAGAACAGAGACAAAUGCACUCACUCUCUUUUAUCUCAGGGAUGCACGCUACAGCGUGUGAAGACUUUGACAUGCGUUAAGUGGGAAAAUGACUCAGGGUGCCAAAUACCGAGUGCCCCAUUUACAUGAAGAACAUAGCAGUGUUCACCGUGGAAUGGACGCUGUUAGGAUCUGGGUGUCCGGAGAAGCAGGAAGCUGCAGUCAACACCAGCAUUUUCCUGGAUUCCAGCAUCUUUGCCAAGGCUUGGUGACGUGAACAGAGACCCUUGCGACAUAGACUAAAUGUUGGAAAUCUCACUCCGUCCCGACUGGCCAUCUCCUGCCACAAAAUGAGGCUUCCAGUAGCAGGACUGGAUUGUAUUGAAUUGAGUUCUUGGCCCAGAGGACCCCAUGGAAAUCCCCAAACAACACAAGCUGUUGCUAAAACAAAUGUUUGCUCUCCACAAACUGAGAGUGGGCUCCAUCGCUGAGGGAAACACACACCCAAGCCAUUGAACAUGGAGAUGUCAAGCUGGCGCCUCACACAGAGACUUUAUCCCUACGUUCUAGUCUCUCUGGUGUGGGAAGGUGCCCUCCAGGCUACCAGGAGAGGAACACAAACACCAGUCCAGGCAUAAAACCUUUGACCUACAAUCGGUCCUGCCUGCAAGACGUGCUGGGGAGAUGGUGACAUAGAAAUUGUGGGCGUAACCAACCAAUAUCUGAUAUGACUUAAAGCCCACUCCAUGAGAUGGAACCCAUACUUGACACUGUGUGACUAAGAACCAGAAACUGGACAGGCAAGAGGCCCAGGGCAAAACCAAAUGCUAAUGGUCUUUGACAAAAUAGUAUCAAUAAAGUGACUUCUAAUGAUGUUCUGCCAUACUCAGAGAUCAGUGCCUUGUUCAGUCACCAUCAGAGAAGGUUCCCUCAGGCGGGCAGAUAGGAACAGAUAGAAUGCAGCUAGACUUUACACAGGAAGAGCAUCCUUGGAAUACUCAGCCCUGAAUGGGCCAUCUUCACCAAAUCUCUCUGCUCAGAGCUCGGGGAGCCCCGGGGAAGAGGACGGAGGAGGCCAGCAAUGCAGCGCCUUGAAGCUCUUGAACUGGACUUUGGUUUGCGAGAUGAUUUCAGCUUGUAAAGAUCUGAUGUGAAGCCUCCGCCAGUGUAUUCAGGAAUCACUGAGGCUGGCUGUGGCUCUGUGUAGCGAAGGUUUGAUAUAAAAAUGGAACCACGGUGUUUGGGGGAACUGUUUAGCUCUGUGGUGAUUCUGUCCUGUGAAAAUUCGAUGCAAAAAAUCUAUAGCUUUGAAGAUGUAACCA